AGAGUUUGAUCCUGGCUCAGAUUGAACGCUGGCGGCAUGCCUAACACAUGCAAGUCGAACGGCAGCAUGAGAGAGCUUGCUCUCUUGAUGGCGAGUGGCGGACGGGUGAGUAAUGCAUCGGGACCUGCCCAGACGUGGGGGAUAACGUAGGGAAACUUACGCUAAUACCGCAUACGUCCUACGGGAGAAAGCGGGGGAUCUUCGGACCUCGCGCGGUUGGAUGGACCGAUGUUCGAUUAGCUAGUUGGUGAGGUAAUGGCUCACCAAGGCGACGAUCGAUAGCUGGUCUGAGAGGAUGAUCAGCCACACUGGGACUGAGACACGGCCCAGACUCCUACGGGAGGCAGCAGUGGGGAAUAUUGGACAAUGGGCGCAAGCCUGAUCCAGCAAUGCCGCGUGUGUGAAGAAGGCCUUCGGGUUGUAAAGCACUUUUAUCAGGAACGAAAACCUGUCGGUUAAUACCCGGCGGGCCUGACGGUACCUGAGGAAUAAGCACCGGCUAACUUCGUGCCAGCAGCCGCGGUAAUACGAAGGGUGCAAGCGUUAAUCGGAAUUACUGGGCGUAAAGCGUGCGUAGGCGGUUUGUUAAGUCUGCUGUGAAAUCCCCGGGCUCAACCUGGGAAUGGCAGUGGAUACUGGCAAGCUAGAGUGUGUCAGAGGGUGUGGAAUUCCCGGUGUAGCGGUGAAAUGCGUAGAGAUCGGGAGGAACAUCAGUGGCGAAGGCGGCCAC
rnacentral:rRNA from 1 species